CAGUAGCCACGGGAAUACGAAGGGUGCAAGCGUUACUCGGAAUUACUGGGCGUAAAGCGUGCGUAGGUGGUGGUUUAAGUCCGUUGUGAAAGCCCUGGGCUCAACCUGGGAAUUGCAGUGGAUACUGGAUCACUAGAGUGUGGUAGAGGAUAGUGGAAUUUCCGGUGUAGCAGUGAAAUGCGUAGAGAUCGGAAGGAACAUCUGUGGCGAAGGCGACUAUCUGGGCCAACACUGACACUGAGGCACGAAAGCGUGGGGAGCAAACAGGAUUAGAUACCCCAGUAGUCCCUGUCUCUUAUAC
rnacentral:rRNA from 1 species